rnacentral:misc_RNA from 1 species
GGUAAAUCAAACACUCCUUAAAUUUUGAUCGUGUCAGAUACAUACAACCUCUUCGAUUUUUUUAAGAACCCACAUUCCCAUUUCAUUAAAUUUGCUUCAGCUAGUGGGCUUCAAGCUCAGUUGUGUGAAUAGAUUGCGGAUAAUAUAAUAUCAUUGCUAAGCCGGGACAAGUCUCUGCUUCCCUAUGAUUUCCAGCAAAGCAAUGGCAAACAACGCCCACCUCCUCCACCAAUCAGUGGAUAGAGCCUCAAAAUCCACAGUUGACGCCAUGACGGUGUAAAUUGCCAGUCCCAUUUCACACGGUGGUGUCAAGUUAAAAACUGGAUUUAGCAUAGCAAUCAACCAAACAAGAUUUGACUUAUCUUAAAACAUUGAUUAUCUUUGCUUGUCAUUAUCUUGUGUUGCAUUACUCACCCAUUUUCCCCAAUGGAAGUUUCCAUUAAAAUCCAAUUCAACCCAAACAUGAAUCAGCCAAUGACUCCAGGAUGCAAAAAGAACCCAUGGGGUGGAGACCAAGAGAUUAUUAAUGCCAACACUUUUAAUUUUGAGGAUAAUUUAAGAAAGCAUGAGUUAUGGUUAAGAGUGCAAGUAAUCUGUACAGAUAUACCCAUGUUACAUUCCACAGGAGAUGAAAAAAGUUGUACCAUGUAUUUUCUCUUGUCAAAGUACCUACGUCAUUUAGGGAGAGGGAAAGAUGGGAGAAUGGUGAUUCAAAGCCCAAAACUAAUCUCUAGUCUGGAAGUUGUUCAUAGUCCCCAUUUUCAGGGGAUUGGUAAGCUCCAUGACCUACUCUUCCUGUCAAUUCAUAACCGGUAUUCACUCUGGCAUCUGGACCACCCAGCCAAUCUGUGGUCCUUGAAGGUGCCAUAUGCAUUCCCCGAGGAUGAAUCAUGAAAGGAUUUCCUCCGAUAUUUGUAUGAUCAUCAUUUCCCCUGACUGAAUUCCUCCCAGAUGAUUCAAUGAGAGAAUGGAAGCCAAUGUUUGAUAUUGAUGCUUCUCCAACUGGAGAAGGCAACUUGCUGGUAGGCGCAUCAACUUUCACACCAGUGCUAGCUUCCUUCUUCUUGUCAAGCAGAAAUGUACCAACAAUGAUCUGAACAGGGCCACCAGCUGUUAGAGGUCCACCAACUCCUCCUCCAAUGAUCUGACCAUCUGUAUUAGAAAGGCAUACGCUGAGCCCACCUGUUCUCCCUCCAAUAUCAGUGCGCACAUAUGAUCCAGAUAUUGAAAUGAUCUCAAACCGACCCUCAUAUGUAAUGUUGCCUCCUGAAGUUGCUGGCUGCCGGAGGGAUGCAUUUGAGAUUGAACCAGACGCAGACAUAAUGCACAUCUCACGCUUACUUUGUUGCAUGAACAUCAUAAGUUUUUGAGCUACAUCCUCGCCAGCAGCCACAGUUAUAACAUGUGGAGUAAAAGCUUGCCCUGCAUUGCCAAGAGCAAACAACUGUUGAGACUUCCUUGAUGAACCCGAGUACGGAGGAGACGACGAAGUAGCGCCUUCUCUCUUCUCCUUGGCAACAGAAUUCGAAGAAGCCGCCGUUUUCUUAGCAGCCAGAGCUUGCUCUGGCGUACCGUAUUUCCUCGGCCUGCCUCGCUUCCUCCUUGGGGGCUCCACUGGUGCAGUGGUGACAGCGGCCGAGGAUGGACCCACGGAAUGUGGAUACAGCAUAUGAGGACCACCACCACUAUCGGAAGCGGAAUUGUGAGGCGGCGGCAGAAGGCCAUUGGUCGGCGAAGGGGUAGUGGUGGCAGGAGUGAUGGUGGUGAAGUAGGAGCUUAGGUGGUGGCGUUGGCUUUCGUUGGGUUCCAUUUUGUACAGAGAGAGAGAGAGAGAAGAGAAUCGUGAGAUAUUUUUUUAAUUUUC